GACUUUAUCAUUACUAGAGUUGUAGUUCGAGACAACUCUUCAAAGUACUACAUAAAUGACCGUGGAAGUAAUUUUACAGAUGUCACUAAGAAAUUUAAAGGAAAAGGAGUGGACUUGGACAACAAUCGGUUUUUUAUUCUUCAGGGUGAAGUCGAGCAAAUUUCUCUAAUGAAGCCAAAGAUUUAUAUUUUCAGCAUUAUUGUAAUUAUAAUUGUAAUUGUAAUUGAUUGAAUGAAUGAUUGUAAUUGAUUGUAA